GUGUAUAUCAGAGCAGGGAUGGGGCAGCUUCCUACUGGGGCAGCUUCCUCACUCUAGCAGCUUCCUGCCACGGUCCUGGAGCCAGAUGUUUCCUGACCCAGAAGAGGCAGAAACUCCUCUGGUGACCCAUUUCAGCACUGAAGCUUUCUGCUCUUGAAACUUGUCAUGGAGCCUAUUUAUUCAGCUUUCCCAGUGAUUCAACCGUACACCGCCUUCUUACCUUCCUUACUGUCCUGGUGAUCCCAUCAGAGGACAGUUUUCCAAAGUUCCUCUGCUUCACAGACCUUGGAAUUUCAUAUUGAGCUAAUUCAAGCGAGUUCUCCAAGAGGAAGUGCAGUUCCUUCCUGCGAAGAGCUCCGGGCUCCCCCCGGUGGCUAUUAUGGGUAUCGCUCCCCCAGGCCCUGCUUCAUUUAUCCCCGAGUUUUCCAAUUUCCCGCUUUCUCUCUUAGAACUCGGCCUUCCUCGAACUUAGCUUUCUCGGCUCUUGCUUCUCGGCUUUUUCUGACCGUUUAUUCAUUCGGAGUCUGCUUUCGGCAUGACGCCUACCAACGGCUCUGGCCCCCAGUACAGGCCACACAGAGCUGGUCAUUGUUGCCCCAGUUCUGGGACCACCCGGGUGGGAGAAGGGGCAGCGCGCCGCCGCGGAGGCCGGAUGACUGACAGCAGCCUCAGGUCAAGUGCCCCGCGGGCCACCCGGAAGGAGCGCGGGUGCCCCCUCCACGUCCCCCUUUGCCCCUUCCAGCGCGAAAUGAGCCCUUCCUUCAGACCCACACAAUUAACAGCAGUAAAAUCUUUAUUUUCAACACUCUGUAUAUGAA
ensembl:lncRNA